CACGUAGGGUGCGAGCGUUUGUCCGGAAUUGUUGGGCGUAAAGAGCUCGUAGGCGGUGUGUCGCGUCGGCCGUGAAAACCUGCAGCUUAACUGUGGGCUUGCGGUCGAUACGGGCAUCACUGGAGUUCGGCAGGGGAGACUGGAAUUCCUGGUGUAGCGGUGAAAUGCGCAGAUAUCAGGAGGAACACCGAUGGCGAAGGCAGGUCUCUGGGCCACUACUGACGCUGAGAAGCGAAAGCAUGGGGAGCGAACAGG
rnacentral:rRNA from 1 species